AUUGAACGCUGGCGGCAUGCCUUACACAUGCAAGUCGAACGGUAACAGGUCUUCGGAUGCUGACGAGUGGCGAACGGGUGAGUAAUACAUCGGAACGUGCCUAGUAGUGGGGGAUAACUACUCGAAAGAGUGGCUAAUACCGCAUGAGAUCUACGGAUGAAAGCAGGGGAUCGCAAGACCUUGUGCUACUACAGAGGCCGAUGGCAGAUUAGGUCGUUGGUGGGAUAAAAGCUUACCAAGCCGACGAUCUGUAGCUAGUCUGAGAGGACGAUCAGCCACACUGGGACUGAGACACGGCCCAGACUCCUACGGGAAGCAGCAGUGGGGAAUUUUGGACAAUGGGCGCAAGCCUGAUCCAGCAAUGCCGCGUGCAGGAUGAAGGCCUUCGGGUUGUAAACUGCUUUUGUACGGAACGAAAAGCCCUGGGUUAAUACCCUGGGGUCAUGACGGUACCGUAAGAAUAAGCACCGGCUAACUACGUGCCAGCAGCCGCCGUAACAC
rnacentral:rRNA from 1 species